AGCAUUUGCUGAGCCUCCUCUGAACACAAGGCGGAUGGUCAAGCAUGGCUGAGGAAGGUUUUCUGGUCAAGAAUCUAGGCUGGGCAUCAUUCUCCCAGUGACCACACGUGGACAGAACAAGAGCAGGACAUGCAAAGAUUGGUGCUUCCCUGAGACCUGCCCACUAGUCACCACAUGCAGAGAAUGGACACUUCAUGCCUCACUGAUGUGAACCUCCAGGACUGACCCUUGUCUUCCACAGAGCUGGAUUUGUGAAAGGAUGACAGCAACCACAGGAAAAAGAAAUCAGUGAGCCACAUUAAAACGCCUUUAUUCCCUGCAACAGUUAAAGCAACAAAAUCUA
rnacentral:lncRNA from 1 species